rnacentral:lncRNA from 1 species
UUCAGACCUUUCGACUACUACUGCAGUGCUGACAACAUGAGUAGUAGCAGCUAUGUAAUUGUAACGACCCUGGUUAAAUCAGCCGAGUUAAUCAAAAUCGGAGUCCCUAAUUCCGCUGACUCAGCUCCUCUAAGCUUAAGCGCUCAACCUCCAGUUCCCGAUCCCGACCCCUGAAAACCCAACCAGAACCACCGGUUCCUUCUAAGUCUCAACAGCAGUGUUCCUUUCC